GGGCCGUUAGCUCAGUUGGUAGAGCAACUGACUUUUAAUCAGUAGGUCGAUGGUUCGAGCCCAUCACGGCUCACCA
rnacentral:tRNA from 1 species